UCCCGUCUUUCUCCCUGAGGUGGGGCCUUGAGUGAUAUUAAGGUGGUUCCCCCCGGUUUUAUUCCCCUUUAACCGGGGUUUUUUUAU
rnacentral:ncRNA from 1 species